rnacentral:rRNA from 1 species
UACGAAGGGGGCUAGCGUUGCUCGGAAUUACUGGGCGUAAAGCGCACGUAGGCGGUCUUUUAAGUCGGGGGUGAAAUCCUGGAGCUCAACUCCAGAACUGCCUUCGAUACUGGAAGACUCGAGUCCGGGAGAGGUGAGUGGAACUGCGAGUGUAGAGGUGAAAUUCGUAGAUAUUCGCAAGAACACCAGUGGCGAAGGCGGCUCACUGGCCCGGUACUGACGCUGAGGUGCGAAAGCCAGGGGAGCGAACGGG